rnacentral:rRNA from 1 species
GACGAACGCUGGCGGCGUGCUUAACACAUGCAAGUCGAACGGAAAGGCCCUGCUUUUGUGGGGUGCUCGAGUGGCGAACGGGUGAGUAACACGUGAGUAACCUGCCCUUGACUUUGGGAUAACUUCAGGAAACUGGGGCUAAUACCGGAUAGGAGCUCCUGCUGCAUGGUGGGGGUUGGAAAGUUUCGGCGGUUGGGGAUGGACUCGCGGCUUAUCAGCUUGUUGGUGGGGUAGUGGCUUACCAAGGCUUUGACGGGUAGCCGGCCUGAGAGGGUGACCGGCCACAUUGGGACUGAGAUACGGCCCAGACUCCUACGGGAGGCAGCAGUGGGGAAUAUUGCACAAUGGGCGGAAGCCUGAUGCAGCAACGCCGCGUGCGGGAUGACGGCCUUCGGGUUGUAAACCGCUUUCGCCUGUGACGAAGAGUGAGUGACGGUAAUGGGUAAAGAAGCACCGGCUAACUACGUGCCAGCAGCCGCGGUGAUACGUAGGGUGCGAGCGUUGUCCGGAUUUAUUGGGCGUAAAGGGCUCGUAGGUGGUUGAUCGCGUCGGAAGUGUAAUCUUGGGGCUUAACCCUGAGCGUGCUUUCGAUACGGGUUGACUUGAGGAAGGUAGGGGAGAAUGGAAUUCCUGGUGGAGCGGUGGAAUGCGCAGAUAUCAGGAGGAACACCAGUGGCGAAGGCGGUUCUCUGGGCCUUUCCUGACGCUGAGGAGCGAAAGCGUGGGGAGCGAACAGGCUUAGAUACCCUGGUAGUCCACGCUGUAAACGGUGGGUACUAGGUGUGGGGUCCAUUCCACGGGUUCCGUGCCGUAGCUAACGCUUUAAGUACCCCGCCUGGGGAGUACGGCCGCAAGGCUAAAACUCAAAGGAAUUGACGGGGCCCCGCACAAGCGGCGGAGCAUGCGGAUUAAUCCGAUGCAACGCGUAGAACCUUACCUGGGUUUGACAUGGAUCGGGAGUGCUCAGAGAUGGGUGUGCCUCUUUUGGGGUCGGUUCACAGGUGGUGCAUGGCUGUCGUCAGCUCGUGUCGUGAGAUGUUGGGUUAAGUCCCGCAACGAGCGCAACCCUUGUUCACUGUUGCCAGCACGUUAUGGUGGGGACUCAGUGGAGACCGCCGGGGUCAACUCGGAGGAAGGUGGGGAUGACGUCAAGUCAUCAUGCCCCUUAUGUCCAGGGCUUCACGCAUGCUACAAUGGCUGGUACAGAGGGUGGCGAGCCUGUGAGGGUGAGCGAAUCUCGGAAAGCCGGUCUCAGUUCGGAUUGGGGUCUGCAACUCGACCUCAUGAAGUCGGAGUCGCUAGUAAUCGCAGAUCAGCAACGCUGCGGUGAAUACGUUCCCGGGGCU